rnacentral:rRNA from 1 species
UAAUACGGAGGUGGCAAGCGUUACUCGGAAUCAUUGGGUGUAAAGGGCAAGUAGGUGGUCUAAUAAGUGAGGGGUGAAAUCUUCCGACUCAAUCGGAAAACUGCCUUUCAAACUGCUAGACUUGAGGGUGGAAGAGGAAAAUGGAAUUCUCGGUGUAAGGGUGAAAUCUGUAGAUAUCGAGAAGAACACCAGCGGCGAAGGCGAUUUUCUACUCCACACCUGACACUAAAUUGCGAAAGCUAGGGGAGCAAACAGAAUUAGAUACUCUGGUAGUCCUAGCCGUAAACGAUGAGCACUAGGUGUUGGCCCUUCACGGGGUCAGUGCCGUAGCUAACGCAUUAAGUGCUCCACCUGGGGACUACGGUCGCAAGGCUA